rnacentral:rRNA from 1 species
GUAGCCUGUUCCGUAGGUCUUCUGUAAAAUCCAACCGGCUUAACGGUUGGUCCGCAGGAGAUACCUCGGGACUAGGAGGCGGGAGAGGUGAACGGUACUUCACGUGUAAGGGUAAAAUCCUUUGAUCCGUGGAAGACCACCAGUGGCGAAGGCGGUCCGCCAGAACGCGCUCGACGGUGAGGGAUGAAAGCUGGGGGAGCGAACCGGAUUAGAUACCCGGGUAGUCCCAGCCGUAAACGAUGCGAGCUAGAUGAUCCAAUCAGCAAAUAGCGAUUGGAGUGUCGCA